rnacentral:rRNA from 1 species
GACGAACCGUGCGAACGUUGUUCGGAAUCAUUGGGCUUAAAGGGUGCGUAGGCUGGUAAGCAAGUCGAAGGUGAAAGCCCACGGCUCAACCGUGGAAGAGCCCUCGAUACUGCUUGUCUGGAGGGAGGUAGGGGCACGCGGAACUUCCGGUGGAGCGGUGAAAUGCGUAGAUAUCGGAAGGAACACCGGUGGCGAAAGCGGCGUGCUGGACCUCUACUGACGCUGAGGCACGAAAGCCAGGGUAGCGAACGGG